GAUGAACGCUGGCGGCGUGCCUAAUACAUGCAAGUCGAGCGAACAGAUAAGGAGCUUGCUCCUUUGAAGUUAGCGGCGGACGGGUGAGUAACACGUGGGUAACCUACCUAUAAGACUGGGAUAACUUCGUGAAACCGGAGCUAAUACCGGAUAACAUUUAGAACCGCAUGGUUCUAAAGUGAAAGAUGGUUUUGCUAUCACUUAUAGAUGGACCCGCGCCGUAUUAGCUAGUUGGUAAGGUACAGGCUUACCAAGGCGACGAUACGUAGCCGACCUGAGAGGGUGAUCGGCAACGCUGGAUCUGAGUCACGAUCCAGACUCCUACGGGCAGCAGGAGCAGGGACUCUUCCGUAAUGAGCGAAAGCCGGAAGGAGCAACGCCGCAGGCGUGAUGAAGGGUGUCGGCUGGUAAAACUCUGUUAUUAGGGAAGACCAAAUGUGUACGUAACUGUGAAAAUCUUGACGGGACCUAAUCAGAAAGCCACGGCUAACUUCGUG
rnacentral:rRNA from 1 species